rnacentral:rRNA from 1 species
AUGGACAUACUCAGUAGUUUUGGCGGCGCUUCUGGCCUGAAGAUCAACAACGCAAAGUCCAUGGCGACUCCGAUUUGCUGCAACAACGUCGACCUCAACGCAGUGCUUCAGUCGUUCGGAGGGCCAGUUACGCAGUUCCCAAUUAGAUAUUUAGGUCUUCCCCUAACAAUCGGUCGCCUCCAUCUCGUCCAUCUCCAAUUCAUCCUCAAUCGUAUUAGGGCUAGGCUUGCGGGCUCGAAGGGGAAAUUGCUAUCCAUCGCUGGCCGUAGAGUUCUCGUCAGAUGUGUUCUUACUGCCAUGCCAACUUUCGCCCUCACGACGCUGCGCUUCCCUGCUAAGCUCCUCAAGGAAAUUGACAAGUGUAGACGUCGUUUCCUCUGGGGCCAGGACCAGGAGCUCUCUGGCGGCAUCUGGAAGGUAAGUUGGGGGCGGGUCUGCACGCCGAUUGAGCACGGAGGGCUGGGCAUCCUCGACCUGACAAAAUUCAGCCGCGCCCUAAGACUUCGCUGGCUAUGGCACGCUUGGAAAAGCCCGGAGCGGCCGUGGGCGGGGACGGAGCCACCCUGCGACGCCUCCGACCGGGCCCUCUUCUGCGCGGCCACCAAGGUGUUGGAAAUAUGCCCUAGAGGCAAUAAUAAAUUAGUUAUUAUUAUUAUAUUUCCUUGUUCAUGA